UAUAUAUUCCCUCCGUCCCAUAUUAAGUGACUUUCUAUUACAUGUAUCUAAACGCUUUUUAGACAUAGAUACAUCCAUAUUUGAGCAAAUUUGAGUCACUUAAUAUGGAACGGGGGAGUAGUAA
rnacentral:pre_miRNA from 1 species